rnacentral:rRNA from 1 species
AGGACGAACGCUGGCGGCGUGCUUAACACAUGCAAGUCGAGCGGAAAGGCCCUUCGGGGUACUCGAGCGGCGAACGGGUGAGUAACACGUGAGUAAUCUGCCCCUAGCUCUGGGAUAGCUCCGGGAAAACCGGGAUUAAUACCAGAUACGACCACUUUAGACAUCUGUCGUGGUGGAAAGGAUUCCGGCUAGGGAUGGGCUCGCGGCCUAUCAGCUUGUUGGUGGGGUAACGGCCUACCAAGGCGACGACGGGUA